rnacentral:ncRNA from 1 species
CCAAAUUCGAUGAAGAGAAUAAGUACGAAUGGACACUUAAUCUAUAGAGAGUCGACGCUUGCUGAAAGUCGAUGUUUAAGUCCUUUUCUGAAAUCAUCUCCGAGAAGCAAAAUUGAACCUGAUGUAAAUUUUGCCGGCAAAUCCUCCGUUACCUUGGGAUCACGUAUGAUAGUACGGUGGCUGAGUGCUGGAUUUUUUGUGAACACAAAAUUCCGGAAUUAGGGUGGUAUCGCGAGUAAUCUCGUCCCUUUU